AGAGUUUGAUCAUGGCUCAGGAUGAACGCUGGCGGCGUGCUUAACACAUGCAAGUCGAACGAACCUUCGGGUUAGUGGCGGACGGGUGAGUAACGCGUGAGAAUCUGCCCUCAGGAGGGGGAUAACGGUUGGAAACGACCGCUAAUACCCCAUAUGCCUACUGGUGAAAUGAAUUUCGCCUGAGGAUGAGCUCGCGUCUGAUUAGCUAGUUGGUGAGGUAAUGGCUCACCAAGGCUUCGAUCAGUAGCUGGUCUGAGAGGAUGAUCAGCCACACUGGGACUGAGACACGGCCCAGACUCCUACGGGAGGCAGCAGUGGGGAAUUUUCCGCAAUGGGCGAAAGCCUGACGGAGCAACGCCGCGUGAGGGACGAAGGCCUCUGGGCUGUAAACCUCUUUUCUCAAGGAAGAAGAUAUGACGGUACUUGAGGAAUAAGCCACGGCUAAUUCCGUGCCAGCAGCCGCGGUAAUACGGGAGUGGCAAGCGUUAUCCGGAAUUAUUGGGCGUAAAGCGUCCGCAGGCGGCUUUUCAAGUCUGCUGUUAAAACGUGGAGCUUAACUCCAUCAUGGCAGUGGAAACUGAAAGGCUUGAGUAUGGUAGGGGCAGAGGGAAUUCCCGGUGUAGCGGUGAAAUGCGUAGAUAUCGGGAAGAACACCAGUGGCGAAGGCGCUCUGCUGGGCCAUUACUGACGCUCAUGGACGAAAGCCAGGGGAGCGAAAGGGAUUAGAUACCCCUGUAGUCCUGGCCGUAAACGAUGAACACUAGGUGUCGGGGGAAUCGACCCCUUCGGUGUCGUAGCUAACGCGUUAAGUGUUCCGCCUGGGGAGUACGCACGCAAGUGUGAAACUCAAAGGAAUUGACAGGGGCCCGCACAAGCGGUGGAGUAUGUGGUUUAAUUCGAUGCACGCGAGACCUUACCAGGGUUUGACAUCCUGCGAACCUCUUAGAAAUUUGAGGGUGCCUUCGGGAAUGCAGUGACAGGUGGUGCAUGGCUGUCGUCAGCUCGUGUCGUGAGAUGUUGGGUUAAGUCCCGCAACGAGCGCAACCCACGUUUUUAGUUGCCAGCAUUUAGUUGGGCACUCUAGAAAGACCGCCGGUGAUAAACCGGAGGAAGGUGUGGAUGACGUCAAGUCAUCAUGCCCCUUACACCCUGGGCUACACACGUACUACAAUGCUACGGACAAAGGGCAGCAAACUCGCGAGAGCUAGCAAAUCCCAUAAACCGUGGCUCAGUUCAGAUCGUAGGCUGCAACUCGCCUACGUGAAGUAGGAAUCGCUAGUAAUCGCAGGUCAGCAUACUGCGGUGAAUACGUUCCCGGGCCUUGUACACACCGCCCGUCACACCAUGGAAGUUGGCCAUGCCCGAAGUCGUUACUCCAACCCUUGUGGAGGAGGACGCCGAAGGUGGGGCUAAUGACUGGGGUGAAGUCAUAACAAGGUAACCGUA
rnacentral:rRNA from 1 species